rnacentral:lncRNA from 10 species
ACCUGGCCCAUGGUGAAGACAUUUGACUGUCAUUUCCUCCUUCACCCUUCUCACUUUUCCUUAUCCUCUUAUCCUUCCUUUUCCCUCUCUCCUCUCUUUUGUUGGGAACUGAGAUUUCAGUUGACAUACCCAGCAAGGGGUAUAGGCCUAGCAUUUCCAAGCCUGAGACUUUAGCUGCCUUCAGUUUCCUAAUUUAUUUUGGUAAUACAAAUUAAGCAAUAUGCUUGUCAAAAAACUGAUUUUAUUGACUGCCCAUUUAUCUUGCCCCUGGGACAUUAUUCUCUCUUAAGCAUUUCCAAAUUCUCUGUAAGUCAGGACCCCUAGUUCAAAUUCCAACCUUUGCCACUUAUUACAGUCAUUAUACACAUUUUGCUCUCCAUCUGCACUCUAUUGUCUCAGGUUCUCUCAUCCCCAGUGGUAUCAUGGAGCUUAGGUCUAUAAUAGCAUAUUUUCCAGGCCCUCUACAGAACAUACCUUGUUGGUGGGUUUUCCAGCUUUAUGUAUUCUAUCUACUUCAAAAUGUCCGGUCCUCUAAGCCUCUUGAUUCCCUCCUCCUCAAUAUGGCACAGAGUUUCUUGCAUUUCUACUUUAUUUAGUGGAAAAUUUCACUUGUUCCAAGAACUCAGAAUAUUCCAAGUUCACCCUAACAGCAUGUUAGUUGUAUCUACCAAAAUUCUAAUCAUGGCAUUAAAUAUCAUAUCGCAGAAAAGUACUCCCAUAUUAACAAACUCUCUCUAACAUGAAUUUAUGUUUCCUUUUGUUGCAGUCCCCUUUUCCCCUGUUCAAUGAGGUACAGCCUCUUGUCCCACGACCAAGAAGAACAAGGCACGCAGACACCAGUGGUUCAAGUUUAAUACAAACUACAAAAGAUCAAUGGGUUGAUGCCCUCUACUGACACAUCAUACAAAUCAGUGGCCUCCCCACAAUACGACUCAGGCCAUCCCUUCCAAAAGAAGAAAGGCUGGUCUCUCCACCCCCUGUAGGAAAGGCCUGCCUUGUAACACACCACAGUUCGGCUGAAUCUGAAGUCUUGUAUUUUACUCAUGGAAAAAAAAAACCACAAAAGAGACUUUGUUCUCAGGGGUUCCCACUGCAGCCUGGCACUAAAACAGCCCAGCACUCACUCCUGCUUGGAUAAAUAUUCUUUGCUCUUUUGGACAUCAGUCUUGAUAGUAUCACUGCCAGGUUUCCAGCCAGCUGGGCACACUUCCCU